rnacentral:lncRNA from 1 species
ACCGCUAAAAAUAAUAAAACCUAAUGAGAUAUUAAGCAGAAUUAAAAUCUAAAAUCUAAAGUGCGAAAAGAGAAAGAAUAGAAAAAGUACGAACCGCUAUCACCGAUGAGGAGAAGCUUGAUUAGGUAAUCGUAAUCGGAUCGAGCUCUUGCAGGUGGAGCAGCCAUCGUGAUAAUUCAAAAACCUAAAACCUGAUAUGAUUGAUCCACGAUGGUUGCUGUAGUAGAAGGGGCUAAGAAAAUUAAGUUAAUUUGAUUUUAUUGGAAAGAAAAAGUGGAGAGUGAGGUGUGAUAAGUUAUAACGAAGUAAAGUGGGUGAAAAUGAAAAUGAAAAUGGAAGAGAACAAAGUCGAGAUCUGAAAAGGAAAAGGAAAUGGAGAUCGAUUGGAUGGAGAGUUUGUUGUUGGUCGAGCGUUGAAAUCUGUUUUUUUUUUUUUUUUUAAUUAAAAAAUGAAGAUUAUUUUUCAGUUUUUUAUCAAAAUAUAAUCUCAAUUUUUUUUCUUUUCUUUAGAUGAGGUGGAAAUCCACUAAAAUUAAAUUAAGAGUAAAUUACACUCUCCUCCCCUCUUAUGUUAAAAUAUACACUUCCCCUUCUUAUUCAAAACAUAUUAGAAAAUAUUUCACCCUCCUUCCUCGAGAGAAGCUUGAAUUACAUUCACCUCUCCUUUUAAGUUAAAUUGUACGAUGUAGUCCCUCAAUUUUUUUUUCUUCUAAUAAUCUACCACACUUCAAAGAAAAAUAGCAUGCGGGUUCAUUUUAAUAUAAUCAAAUUUUGAAUACAUAUUUUUCUCUAUUUUUAUUCACAAUUUCAUUAACAUAUAGUUUUAAACUCUAUUAAAAAAUAUGAAACAACCCAAAAUAAAAUUAAAAUAUGUGAAAAAGUACUAAAAUCGAUUAAGUAUGAUUAUUUAAAAGUGAGUUUUAUACUCUAAAUUAUAAAAUUAAUAACACAAAAUUUAAAUUUAAUUGUCAUUGACAUUUAGAUUAUAAAUAAACGAAUUUAUAUUUUUUAAAUGGUGAUUCAAAAUUAAUAUAUAUUAUAAAAAUAUUUAUUUAUGUUAAAAUAGAUUAAAGUGUAGUCAUAUGUUAAACAAACAAAAAAAUUGUAUUCAUAAAAAAUCAGUUUGGCACGUUUAACGAAAAUAGCUUAACGACAAACUAAUACAUCUAGUAAAUGAACAUUCAUCUUCAAUGAUCUGUUACUCUUUAGAUGGACCAUUUAACGACAAACUAAACUCAAAACAGCUCAUGAAUAGCAAACUAAACUCAAACAGCUCGUGAAUAGCAAACUAAAUUAAUAAAGUUUAAAAUAAUUUCAUUAAUUCAAUUCAUCAUACAGAUUUCGAGUGAAUAACAGCGUUUUGAAAAGUAUGAAGAAAUGACGUAUGGCAUAAUUAGCUUAGCCUAUAUUGAACAAAAUUAAAAAUAACUAUAAGAUGUCCAAGUAUUUGAUCAAUUUAAGCCGAGAAACAUCAAAUGUAUAAAGUAUUCUGAAAUACGAAGCUUAGCAAUAUAUUGGAGCACCAAGUAGGCGAAGGAUGUUGUUGGUUUUAGCAAACAUUGUGCAUAGUCAGUCUCCUGAAAAAAGAAAGGGAAAAUAAAACAGAUACUGAUACAGAUGCAGCAAUAAAUAGAUAUCUGAUUAAUUUCCAUACAUAGGAAGGAUCUAGUCUACCAUUAACAUCCAAUAAGUAGCAACUGUAAAAUAGCAAAAGAACAAUACAAGCACUGAUCGAAGUCAUUGACCAAAUUAACUUCCUCCGUCAAAUGUAGUUGCAAGAGCUUCUUCUAAGAACCACAGCAAGAUGAUGUUUGUGAUGCUUGAGCAGAGCCAGCUCCCUGGUCAGGUUGGUUAAUCUUGAGUGUCUGGGGCUGCAAUGAACCAAAUAAAAAUUUAGCGCAAAGAUGAUGAGGCAACCAAACAUGCAACAUAAUAGUAGUCUAAAAAAGAAAACCAGCAAUAUCAAGGAAGAGUCUAGCAUUAACUUCAAAUAUAUCAAAAAAUGAAGCAAUUAUAAACUGUUGCAACUUGCAAGAUAAUGAAUCCAUCAUAACAAAAGAAACGUUGAAAUAAAAACCUCAGUCUUUGAGUCACUUUCUGCAAGUCUUUGUUUGAUGUCCCGAGCUAUUGAAAAGAAAACCUCCUCCACAUUCAUAUUAGUUUUUGCACUCUGCAUAAACAUAAUCUUGGCAUUAAAAACAGCACAGCGAUUUCAGAUGCUUUUCCAACAAGAGUAACAACUAAAAAGUGCUGCUUACGGUUUCGAAAAACUUGAUGCCGUAUUCGUCUGCCAGAGCUUGACCCUUUGAAGUUGGAACAGCCUAAGGAGAAUAAAUUUCCAGCAUCAAGUGUAGCAUAGUAAUCACAGGAGAUACGUGUACAUGGAAAACCAAAAGGUUGGAGAAAGAGUGAGUGUGUGGGGCAAACCCUUUUGCUUUCAUCCAUGUCAGCCUUGUUCCCCACUAAUAUUUUGUUGACAUUGUCAGAAGCAUGCUGCUCAAUGUUGCGAAUCCAAUUCUUGAUGUCUGGAUAUCAGAUGAAACAAAUAUAGAAGUCAGUUCCAUCUUAAUACACAUUUAAGCACUGGAAUCUCCCCAAAAUACAAAGUUGAAAAGUAGAGUUUGCAAACAAAAAUACUUACUCCAAUGAUGCAUGUGGAUUUAAAGAAACACGCAUUGUAGAAGAUUAAGAAUGUGGACAAAGUAAUAAAGGAGGAAUGGCGCAAAACUAUAACCAGGAGGAGGAAGAACUUACUGUUAAAAGACGACUCAUCGGUGACAUCAUACACAAGCAAAAUACCCAUUGCUCCACGGUAAUAAGCUGCCCAACAAAAAGAUUAAACACGUCAGUCAGAGUAGAAUUAGAAAUAGUGUGUUUGAAACAGUGAUGGUUGUCAAUCGAUAUCACCAUAUGUACUGAUAUUGACAAACAGAGCAACAUCUUGCAAUACAUAAUCACAUUACUAUAUAGAGUAGAACCUAAAAAGCUAUGAUACUCUAAAAUUGCUAAAGUGUCGAUGUCAUAGCCGUAUUCCCGUAUGCAUAUAACACUCCUAGAUCAGUAUCCAAAAAAAAAACCUCCUCCUUUUUAAAAUUUUAAAAGAUAUUAUUUGACAGAUAAAUUAAGGAUGCCUAUUAACACUUUGGGAUACAGCUCCAGUAACUUGAGCCUUGUUCUCCCUCAAAUUGUGAGCAUAAUUGGAGUCAAAAUACUCUUUAUUCAUGUUUUGAGGAUAUGAAAAGAGGGAGAGGGAUGCUUGUUGGAUAUUGGUAGUGAUAUCCAAGAUUAAUUUGAUGGUGAAGGUGACCAACUUCUUGAAUUGGCAAAUUAAAUUUAGAAGCUAUGCUGUUUUGGAUGAUGAUAAUGGGAAGAUGAAGAUCCCUUGGACACAUGUCAAACACCUUUUAACAUUGUCCAUUUAAAUAAAUAAAACUGGUUCGGACACCUAUUAGACAAGUCUUGGACACGCGAGCAAAAACUGAGCCGACGCAUGCUCUUGGCCAGACACUUGUCUGACACUUCUAAUUCUAGAUUAGAUCUUUUCCUUUUUAUGAGAAUGAGAACUAAAACAAUGACGUCUUAUCAUUUUUUUGUGAGGAUCAUUAUCAUAGGAUUAACUAGUUGUUAUAAUAGACAUGAUUUAUAUUCUUAUGUUAUAUGGAUAAAGAUUGCCAUUAUAAAUGAUUCCCCUUAGUCUUAUUUAUUAGGAAUAUACUUUAUGCUGUUAUAAUUGUACCAGAGGAUCAAUACUGGGAAUUUUUUGUAGAACAACAUAUUUCACCAUGUUCGUUCCUCAACGAACACCUUUAACUUGUUGCUUUCAUUGAAGGUAAUUUUUAUCGUCAAGUUUAACAUAGAUCUUUUGCUUGAAUGUUGUUGGUGCUGCUGUGGCGGUAACUCGAUCAGUGACAUGAGAAGCAGGAGAAGUGGCUGAUAGCCAUGGCUAAGGAUCGAAAAGAAGCUCUAAGAUACCAUGCUAGAAGUUGAGGAUUCAGAGAAAUGAGAGAAAGAGAGGGAAAGUUCUAGAUAGUUUUGAAAUGAGAUACAAUCAAGUAUUUAUAAAGUAGCUAGAUUCUAACCAACUCUAACACAAGUGUCAGUUGUCCUAUCUCCUAUGUUAGGACAGUUGUCCUAACAGAAUUCUGGAGGAAGAGAAAAGAUUGAUCCUCUGGUACAAUUAUAACAGCAUAAGGUAUAUUGCUAAUACAAUAUUAGUAUUCUUCUUUGUGAGAGUCAUAUCAUUAACAUGAAUUUGUUUUUAGAAGGUUAAUAUAUGAAUCUAAAUUCUUAAUUUAGAAUUUUGCUGAGUCAAUUAUAUAUACACACAUACGCAUAAAUAAAAAUAUACACAAGUAUAAGGUGUUCCAGUGUCCUAUAUUUUGGACACUACUUGUGUCUCAAUGUGUUUGCCGUGUCCGUAUGUCAGAGUCUAUACUUCAUAGAUCUAGAUUAGUUUAAAUAGGAGCAGUGGUACGUGGUGACAUUUUGAAAAUGAUUAGGGAAAUAGAAUACAUUUAUGAUAUGUCACAAGGAAAAUAAAAAAUAUCUGAUAUGGGAAGAGGAAAAAUAUGUCUCAAUAUUUUUUGUAAUGAUUAGAAGUAUUUUUUGUAAGGAGUGGAGUGAUAAGGAGAUGGAGAAUUUGGUCCCCACUCCCGACAAAAAACUAACAAUACUAACAUUUGUUGUUUCAAAAAAACAAGUAUUUUUGUGGGUUGUGAACAUGUGAUCAUAAUAUGCAAAUAAACAUACUUAUAUAUUGAUAAAAAAAAUAAAAAACAUCAAUGUUUCUUUACAAAUAUUAUUGCAUUUCUGUAAAAUAAUAAUAAAGUAAAUUUUUCAUAAAUUUGUGUAAAUGAAUUUAGGCCAUCUAAUAUCUUCAGUUUUCAAGAAUUUCCACAUCCAUGUCAUAUUGUGCUAAUGUUGUAUCAAGCAUCCGAGCUUCAUAUAGUAGAACUAAACCUCAAUCACGUGUAAGGUGAUAAUCAGUGGGUCCGGCACUGGAGAUCGAACUACUUCACAGGUCUGAUAAUAUCCAGAAUUUUUAGAUAAAGUCUAAACCAAUCUAAUGAAGAGAUUCAACCCAUACAAUCUAGUAAAAUAGCAUAUCGUCUCAAACAGUCAGUAAUCUUAAAAGAUCUAUUGAUGGGCCGCUAAUCUUAAAAUCUUAUUCAAAACAGGAUGGUUUUCAAUAACUAACGGUUCAGCAAGUUAGAGAAGAAAGGGAAAUCUAUUUGCCUUAAUCAAAAAAUAAUAUUGAAAUAUACUAUAUAAUAUUUAUAGUGGUUCCUAUCUAAUGUGCAAGAACAGGAGGAGCAGUAAAUAAGUAGGAAUUGAUUAAUAUCAUGACAAACACACAUUGCAUAAGUGUACAUAUGUUGAAUGUACAGAGCCACGAUUGAGCUCUCACUAAUUAUUCUAGUUAUAUUGGAAGGGAAAGAGAACAAAACAAAUAAAUUUCAAUAACUGAAACUAACCAGUUGUAAUGGUUCGAAACCGCUCUUGACCAGCCGUGUCCCAUAUUUGCAAUUUGAUUCGCUUACCAUCAAGCUCUAUGGUCCUUAUUUUGAAAUCAAUGCUAAAGAAAAAUAACACAUUUUAGUAAGUACAGGCCCAUCCCCUAAAGAAAGAGACAAAAGAAGAACAGCGGAAACAUAAAAUAAGCAAGUUCACACAGAGAUCGGAGAACCUACCCAAUGGUUGUAAUAAAACUGGUUGUGAAUGAACCAUCUGAGAAACGCAGUAAAAGGCAACUUUUACCCACACCUGCCAAUGUGAAAAAAGAAUGUAAUGAAAUACAAACGAGACCCAGUAAGAUACAUUCCAUACAUUAAUAAUACUGAAUUGGAGAAAGAGUGGAGAUAUAAGGCAUGUUUGGAUUAGCUUAUUUGCUGACAUGCGCACUUACGAUAAUUUUUGUGAGAGCUUAUGGAAACAGCUUGUAACAUCCCAUAAUUUGUUUUCAACUUAUUUCCCCAAGGUAGAUAUAUGAAAACAGAGUAUGGCUUAAAUGAAAACCGUUUUUUUUUUAAGCAACAAAUUUUAUAACGCAGACGGUACCAUCACAAGCCAUGAUGGCCGGGCGAAAAGAGCGAAUACAACUUAAACAAACCACAAUCCAGUACUCUAAACCGAUGCUGGAACAACAGACAAAACAGAAAAUCGCAGGAGCAUCUCCUGAACAACGCAACAAACAGGGACAAAAAACACACCCCUGACCCCCUCCAAAAAAAGAGGAAAAACAUCAAAACAACCACCCAGUAUUUGGUUACCCCCAACACACGCCAAUCAACAGCCACGUACACAGCCCAGCAACCCCAAAACAGCGCUGAAAAAGAACCAUGCACAGCAAUCCCAACUUCCCACCUAGCAAAGCAAUCUCCCGUACACUAUUUCCAUUCGUAGAACAUACAUAGUGAUGCUUUCAAUCUACUCAAGCUCCGCUUCCAUAAGAGCACUUUGAUUUCCUCCACCAUUGCAUCAACCUCAAAAUCUUGAUUCUUGAAAAUCUUCCUAUUUCUCGUACUCCAGAUCACCCAAAUGAUAGUGUGCCAAAUAAGCCAAAACCCUUUUUUCCACUAUUUAUUUUGAGAACACCCUAUCAAACAUUCAAAUUGAACAAAUGGUUUGGGGGUGUAAUAAAUUCCCCACCCAUCCAUCUCAAAAUCUUAUCCCACACUUGAGCAACAACAUAACAAUGAAGAAAAAGGUGGAUAGAAGAUUCCUCAUCAUUCCCACAAAAAACACACUCUCUAGAGGCUUCGGAAACAAUAGCAUGCCUUUUCCACAAAUUAUUCUGGACUGGAAUUCUAUCUAGGAGCAUUUUCCAAGAGCAAGCCACUAUUUUGAAGGUGCCAGACUUUUCCAAAGGCCUCCAAAAACCCCUUUUUCCAGUUCACCUAGAUCAUUUUCCAACACAAAAAUCCCCUCCAAAAAGUCAUAAGUUGAUUUUAGCGAGAACACACCUCCACCUUCCGGUCUCUACCCCCAACUAUCUCUCUCGGUAUUUGGUACCAAAUCAUUCAACAACAUCAAUAAUUGCUCAAGUAAACUCUCCUCCCAUACAAACAACCACCUUCUCCACAACCACAUCCAAUUCCACUCUUCCCCAUUUCUAACACAAACCUCACUCAAUUUCGCAUCCUUUCUAUCUAUAAUAGCAAACAACCGCGGGAAAAGAUCACAAAAAACCCUAUUACCCAACCACUUAUCUCUCCAAAAUAAAUCAACUUCGCACUAUCAACUUUCUUAAACACUUCCCUUUUGAACCAAUCUCCUCCACCCGAAUACCGAAUCCUCCAAGGAAGUUAAAUCUCUCCACCAUAUAGAAGCACUUCUCGGCAAGUGACUCCACUCCAAUCAACUUUCCUCUCGAUAUCCUCCCCACACUUUUUUGACAACGACUUCUUUCCACAAAGGACAUUCAUGUUGUAGGAUACGCCAAAUCCAUUUUGCCAAAAGACUCAAGUUGACCGCUCUCACAUCCCUCACCCCCAAACCACCGUCUUUUAUAUGAAAACCGUUUCAUUUUAUUAUAUAUUUUGUUAUAGAAAUAGCUUAUACAUACAUAAGCAAGUUUAACUAAGUUGUUUAUCCAAACAAGGCAAAAAGUCUACAUAACAAUCACAUUUGAUUAAUAACUGAUUUUCUUACACAUGAUAAGUUGAGUUAAGCCUUAAUAAUUAGUUCUAAGUUCUAACCCUCAUGGACAAAAAUAAGUUACUACCUCCAUUUUUAAUAAUAAACUUGUAUAUGGUUACACAACUAAUGAGAAUUAGAAAAGUAAAAUCUAAAGUGCGAAAAGAAAAAGAAUUAGAAAAGUACGAACCGCUAUCACCGAUGAGGAGAAGCUUGAUGAGAUAAUCGUAAUCGGAUCGAGCUCUUGCAGGUGGAGCAGCCAUCGCGAUUAUUCAAAAAAAACUAACGAUGGUUGCUGUAGUAGAAGGGGAUAGGUAAUUCGAUUAAGACAGAACUUAAGGGGA